CAUUGGGGAUGAAAUCUCCCAAGUAGUAAUAACACUACCAGCAGUCGAGAAUAUUAGUCAAUGCUCGUAAGAGUGAACUAGCUAACUGAAAUCAUAGAAUUUUUUCAAAUUCAUGAUGUCGUAAGGGAAAAUAAUGAUAAUACCUUACUAUGAGUGUCGUCCAAAUCUGGUGCCAGAAGACUCGGUAAGACCAGAGACGCAAACGUUAAUCAUCAUAAACAGGCGUAAAGGGUUUGUAGGCAGCUUUUAUAAAAAUAUCAAAAACUAAAUUAAAAGCUAGAAUCAAAAAGAGGUUAUAGUGUAUAACGCCUAGAGGAGGGCUGAUAUCCAUAGAUCCUAGGCAGAAUACUCAGGGCGAAGGCCACUCUCCACUAAUGAUUGACGCUGAGAAACGAAGGUUAGGGUAGGAAAUAGGAUUAGAUACCCCGGUACUCCUUUCUGUAAACGAUGAAUGGUAGUCAUUAGUUAAAUUAAAAUAACUAGAGGCGAAGUUAACACAAUAACCAUUCCGCCUUGUGAGUACUACUGCAAAGUAGAAAACAAAAAAAUUAGUCGGUCUCGAAGCAAACGGAGUGAAGCAUGUUAUUUAAUACGAUAAUCCGCGUAAAACCUUUCCAGAACUUGCAUACAAACUAUAAAUUUUCUUUCCUGAAAAGGUAGAGGGAGUAUUAGGAGUAUACAAA
rnacentral:rRNA from 1 species